GAUGAACGCUGGCGGCAUGCCUAAUACAUGCAAGUCGUACGAAGAAAAAGUACUUGUACUUUAUCUUAGUGGCGAACGGGUGAGUAACACGUAGGUAACCUACCUUUGAGACGGGGACAACAGUUGGAAACGACUGCUAAUACCGGAUAGGAUACGAGAUCGCAUGAUGUUGUAUUUAAAGAAGCUUCUGGCUUCGCUGAAAGAUGGACCUGCGUCGCAUUAGCUAGUUGGUGAGGUAACGGCUCACCAAGGCGACGAUGCGUAGCCGACCUGAGAGGGUGAUCGGCCACACUGGGACUGAGACACGGCCCAGACUCCUACGGGAGGCAGCAGUAGGGAAUUUUCCACAAUGGGCGCAAGCCUGAUGGAGCAAUGCCGCGUGAGUGAAGAAGGCCUUCGGGUUGUAAAACUCUGUUGUAAGGGAAGAAGACCCAGAUCAGGAAAUGGAUUUAGAGUGACGGUACCUUACCAGAAAGCCACGGCUAACUACGUGCCAGCAGCCGCCGUAA
rnacentral:rRNA from 1 species